UGCAGAAUCCCGUGAACCAUCGAGUCUUUGAAUGCAAGUUGCGCUCGAGGCCAUUAGGCCGAGAGCACGUCUGUUUGGGCGUCA
rnacentral:rRNA from 1 species